UCGAGUGGCGAACGGGUGAGUAACACGUGGGUGAUCUGCCCUGCACUUUGGGAUAAGCCUGGGAAACUGGGUCUAAUACCGAAUAGGACCACGCGCUUCAUGGUGUGUGGUGGAAAGCUUUUGCGGUGUGGGAUGGGCCCGCGGCCUAUCAGCUUGUUGGUGGGGUAAUGGCCUACCAAGGCGACGACGGGUAGCCGGCCUGAGAGGGUGACCGGCCACACUGGGACUGAGAUACGGCCCAGACUCCUACGGGAGGCAGCAGUGGGGAAUAUUGCACAAUGGGCGCAAGCCUGAUGCAGCGACGCCGCGUGAGGGAUGACGGCCUUCGGGUUGUAAACCUCUUUCAACUAUGACGAAGCGCAAGUGACGGUAGUAGUAGAAGAAGGACCGGCCAACUACGUGCCAGCAGCCGCGGUAAUACGUAGGGUCCGAGCGUUGUCCGGAAUUACUGGGCGUAAAGAGCUCGUAGGUGGUUUGUCGCGUUGUUCGUGAAAACUCACAGCUUAACUGUGGGCGUGCGGGCGAUACGGGCAGACUGGAGUACUGCAGGGGAGACUGGAAUUCCUGGUGUAGCGGUGGAAUGCGCAGAUAUCAGGAGGAACACCGGUGGCGAAGGCGGGUCUCUGGGCAGUAACUGACGCUGAGGAGCGAAAGCGUGGGGAGCGAACAGGAUUAGAUACCCUGGUAGUCCACGCCGUAAACGGUGGGUACUAGGUGUGGGUUUCCUUCCUUGGGAUCCGUGCCGUAGCUAACGCAUUAAGUACCCCGCCUGGGGAGUACGGCCGCAAGGCUAAAACUCAAAGAAAUUGACGGGGGCCCGCACAAGCGGCGGAGCAUGUGGAUUAAUUCGAUGCAACGCGAAGAAC
rnacentral:rRNA from 1 species